rnacentral:rRNA from 1 species
GUGCUUAACACAUGCAAGUCGAACGAUGAAGCCCAGCUUGCUGGGUGGAUUAGUGGCGAACGGGUGAGUAACACGUGAGUAACCUGCCCUUAACUCUGGGAUAAGCCUGGGAAACUGGGUCUAAUACCGGAUAGGAGCGUCCACCGCAUGGUGGGUGUUGGAAAGAUUUAUCGGUUUUGGAUGGACUCGCGGCCUAUCAGCUUGUUGGUGAGGUAAUGGCUCACCAAGGCGACGACGGGUAGCCGGCCUGAGAGGGUGACCGGCCACACUGGGACUGAGACACGGCCCAGACUCCUACGGGAGGCAGCAGUGGGGAAUAUUGCACAAUGGGCGCAAGCCUGAUGCAGCGACGCCGCGUGAGGGAUGACGGCCUUCGGGUUGUAAACCUCUUUCAGUAGGGAAGAAGCGAAAGUGACGGUNCCUGCAGAAGAAGCACCGGCUAACUACGUGCCAGCAGCCGCGGUAAUACGUAGGGUGCGAGCGUUAUCCGGAAUUAUUGGGCGUAAAGAGCUCGUAGGCGGUUUGGUCGCGUCUGUCGUGAAAGUCCGGGGCUUAACCCCGGAUCUGCGGUGGGGUACGGNCAGACUANANUGCAGUANG